rnacentral:rRNA from 1 species
GUCUACGGCCAUACCAAUCUUGAACACGCCUGGAUCUCAUCCUGAUCUCGGAAGCUAAGCAGGGUCGGGCCUGGUUAGUACUUGGAUGGGAAGAAUCUCAUGGUCCUGGGAAGU